UACGAAGGGGGCCAGCGUUGUUCGGAAUUACUGGGCGUAAAGAGUUCGUAGGCGGUUUAUUAAGCUAGAUGUGAAAUCCCUGAGCUUAACUCAGGAACUGCAUUUAGAACUGGUAGGCUAGAGAGUGUUAGAGGUUGGUAGAAUUCCUAGUGUAGGGGUGAAAUCCGUAGAUAUUAGGAGGAAUACCGAUGGCGAAGGCAGCCAACUGGGACAUUUCUGACGCUGAGGAACGAAAGCGUGGGUAGCAAACAGG
rnacentral:rRNA from 1 species